AGGACGAACGCUGGCGGCGUGCCUAACACAUGCAAGUGGAGCGACGAACCAGGCUUCGGCCUGGGGCAGAGCCGCGAACGGGUGAGUAACACGUGGGUAACCUGCCCUGAUGAUUGGGACAACCCGAGGAAACUCGGGCUAAUACCGAAUGUGCCCUCCGGCCUCAAGGCCGUUGGGGAAAGGAAGCUUCGGCCUCCGCAUCGGGAUGGGCCCGCGGCCCAUUAGCUUGUUGGUGAGGUAACGGCUCACCAAGGCAACGAUGGGUAGCUGGUCUGAGAGGACGAUCAGCCACACUGGGACUGAGACACGGCCCAGACUCCUACGGGAGGCAGCAGUGGGGAAUUUUGCGCAAUGGGGGAAACCCUGACGCAGCAACGCCGCGUGGAGGAUGAAGCCCCUUGGGGUGUAAACUCCUUUCGAUCGGGAAGAUAAUGACGGUACCGAUAUAAGAAGCCCCGGCUAACUUCGUGCCAGCAGCCGC
rnacentral:rRNA from 1 species